UUCUUCCGAUCAUCCUGGAGAUGGUUCGACACCUUAAUUGGAGCCCAGCUGUGUUUGAUUAUACUGAUUGGACUUGAUUAGGAAAACCACACACCUGUCUAUAUAAGACCUUACGGUUCACAGUGCAUGUCUGAGCAAAUGAGAAUCAUGAGGUCAAAGGAAAUGCCUGAAGAGCUCAAAGACAGAAUUGUGGAAAGGCACAGAUCUGGCCAAGGUUACAAAAAAUUAUUAUAUUGCACUUAAGGUUCCUAAGAGCACAGUGGCCUCCAUAAUCCUGAAAUGGAAGAUGUUUGGGACGACCAGAACCCUUCCUAGAGCUGGCCGUCCGGCCAAACUGAUCAAUCGGGGGAGAGUAGCCUUGGUGAGAGAGGUAAAGAAUAACCCAACCAUCACAGUACCUGAGCUCCUGAGAAGCAGUCGGGAGAUGGGAGAAAGUUCUAGAGUCAACCAUCACUGCACCCCUCCACCAGUCGGGGCUUUAUGGCAGUGGCCCGACGGAAGACUCUCCUCAGUGCAAGACACAUGAAAGCCUGCAUGGAGUUUGCUUAAAAAAACACCUGAAGGACUCCAAGAUGGUGAGAAAUAAGAUUAUCUGUAUGAUGAGACCAAGAUGGAACUUUUUGGCCUUCAUUCUAAGCGGUAAGUGUGGAGAAAACCAGUCACUGCUCAUCACCUGUCCUAUACAGUCACAACAGUGAAGGGUGGGGGUGUUUUUCAGCUGCAGGGACAGGACGACUGGUUAGAAUCGAAGGAAAGAUGACUGCGGCCAAGUACAGGGAUAUCCUGGACGAAAGCCUUCUCCAGAGUGCUCAGGACCUCAGACUGGGCCGAAGGUUCACCUUCUAACAAGACAAUGACCCUAAACACACAGCUAAACACACAGCUAAAAUAAGGAAGAAGUGGCUUCAGAACAACUGUGUGACUGUUCUUGAAUGGCCCAGCCACAGCCCUGACUUAAAUCCAAUUGAGGAUCUCUGGAGAGACCUGAAAAUGGCUGUCCACCAAUGUUCACCAUCCAACCCGACAGAAGUGGAAAGGAUCUGCAAGGAGGAAUGGCAGAGGAUCCCCAAAUCCAGGUGUGAAAAACUGGUUUCAUCAUUCCCAAAGACUCAUUGCUCUAUUAGCUCAGAAGCAUGCUUCUAUUAAAUACUGAGCAAAGGGUCUGAAUACUUAUGGGUGUGUGAUAUUUCAGGUUUACUUUUUUAAUCUGCAAAAAUGUCAACAAUUAAAUUUUUUUCUGUCAAUAUGGGGUGCUGUGUGUACAUUAAUGAGGAAAAAAAUUAAAUGAUUUUAGCAAAUGGCUGCAUUAUAAAGAGUGAACGUGAAAAUUUAAGGGGGUCUGAAUACUUUCCGUACCCACUGUAUACUGGACUAUGAAACACCUGUCAUUACUAUUAACAGAAACAUUAUUAUGCUUAGUAGGUCUUAAAACAACAAUGGCACUGUCAAAGGUUUCACGUCUCUGGUUGGGUGCUUCAGCAUUUCAACAUAGACACUGGAUGAAAUAAAAAAGAAUGAAAUUAAACAAACCUAUAAUACGGAACUUCUGUCCUCCCCCUACGCUGGAAUUCAGUAUUACAACAACAGACCAGGAUAUUCGAUAUGAUGUAGACUCCUUGUAUGUGAUGAUUCUACAACAUUUUUAUUUAGUUUUAAAGGACAACCAGAGGGGAAAAAAAGAUGGAUUCUUCAAAAGAGGCAACCAGGGAUCUCGUUUGAUGUGCGUCCCGCGUCUAAGAUGCACAAAAAUUAGCAGGGACGCAUAACGUACGAUCAAUCUGAGUCUUCGGACGCAUGUCUUAAUACUCUGGCGUGGUGCUGGAAAUCCGGCGUAUGAAUUUUUUGGGGAUGAGACAGGACUCUCGAGUCCAACUAAUUUGGUCGCAUAUGCACCUUAAUUUCUGAUGGUGCGGCAAAAAAACAAAAAAGAACAACAACAAAACAGGGUGCGUAAAGGUCCCCAGUCAAUUGAGGAACAAAAAAAACAUUUCCGCGACUUCAAAACCGACAUACGAUGGGUUUCAUCGUGGUCUGUAAACCAAUCAGAGAUUGUCCGUGUGUGUGUGUGUGUGUUUGUGCGUGCUCGCGUCUAUUUGAAAUACGAGCUCUCACGUACACGAAGCUCAGCUUUCUGACAGCAACCCGGCAGCUGCAGCGACAGAAAAUUGAGCGCCAUAUGAAGAAUUCAGUCCAAAGCCUAACGCAGCCACGACAAUGUGGGAACAUUUUGGAUUCAAGCCAGAUGAACGAGGCCAUCCCACUAACACCAACGAGCUGAUAAAGCCUGGACUUCCAGAGCGAACCGGAGCAAUGUGCAGAGUGGCCGCCAUCUUGAACCGGGAGUCCUGUGAUGGUACUGCUCUUCCCCUCCAUUCAUUUCUAUUGAGAUGUUGGGUACGAGCACACGCACACAAUUGAGCAAGUUAUGACUUAUUAUUUCUGUUGUUUUGAAUUUCACGUGCCAAAUGGGUUUUAUUUUGAAAAUUGACCGGACUUUCUCAGCCGCAACAGCUUUGCGUCUGAAUUGAAACGUCAAGACUGCCCAGAACGCUUCUGUUUCCUCCCCCAGCCGACUCGCUAACGGCGGCCGAGCUCAAAGAACCAAUCAUUUCAUAAACUGAUUCUGUUCAUUACGUUCACUGAAAAGAUUCUUCCUUUUGAGUGAAUCAUUCGCAAACGAAACAACACUAGACUGCUAGACUAGACUAGACACUAGACUAAAAAUAAGGCCGCAAACUAGCGAAAAUUAGUAAAAAACAAAUGUCUUUGGAGAGCUUCUUUUCUAAAGGAAAAAGCCUACCUGAGGAGCCACAAGAGCAUAUGACAAAGAAAGCUUAUUUUAAUAAAAAAAUUCAGGAUUCUUACUUUAAAUACAGGUUGGGGUCACUAAAGACUCUUAACUGAUAGAUGGAUAGAUAGACAAACAGAAGCAACCUUGCAUAUUGUUCAUGUUCUGUGGUUGCCGAUUGUGUGGGGGUUCAUGAAGGCAACUCUGUAGAGAGUUAUAACAGUGAAACAACUUACAACUUCGACAUAUGACAUUGAACCGACAAUAACUGAAAGAACCCAGGGAACUAAAUACAAAUUGACAAGACAACGAGGAACACCUGGACAAGACACGAGUGGCUGGAGGGAGCUGAUUGGUUGACACAAGGUAGCGGGUUGACGAGAACGGGUGGGCAAAAUAACUAACUGAGCACAAAAGACAUUAACAACACAGGAUACAGGAAAACAUGAAACAACAGCAAACACGAUCCAAACCAAAACACAGACCAUGACACUCGACCAGGCAAGAGGGUCGAGUGGCGGCCACCGGACGAGCGCCGCCGGGGAGCAGGCUCGGGAGGCGGCCGCCGCUGCCGGGGUGCGGGAGCCGGACGACCACUGCCGGGGAGCGGGUGGGGGCUCUGCAGCCGCUUCCUCAGCCUGCCGCCAGAGAGGAUUGGGAGACACAUUUGAUGGUAAAUUGGUGCAAAAACAGCACUGUGCACAUGCCUGCUAUGUCUCAUUUGAUUGGAGAUUGUAUCCAAUGGAAGAAAGUCCUUCGAUUGCCCGACGACUCAAAUCCCUUCACUCGUUAUUUACAUGAUCUCGUGUUGACACAGACACAGGCUUUCUUGGGAAAGGAAAAGUACCUAGCUGGAGGUUUAAUUCCACCCAAUCUUUGUAAAGUUUCUAGCGCAGGGGUGUCAAACUCACAUCGUAGCUAUGACUAUCCUCGGCGGGCCGCUACGACUGUGAAGCCAUAUAAAUGAAAGAUUACCUCAUAGAAUGUAAUUACGGUACAUACAGUAUACACAACACAUUGAUGAAUAACCAGUUUUGAAAUCAGGAGCCUAUAAAAACAUGUUUUUCAACUAUCCAUCCAUCCAUUUUCAACACCGCUUAUCCUGGUUAGGGUCGCGGGACGCUGGAGCCUAUCCCAGCUGACUUCGGGCGAAAGGCGGACCACACCCUGAACUGGUCGCCAGUCAGUCGCAGGGCACAUAUAGACACAGACGACCAUUCGCACUCACAUUCGCACCGUCACUGAGUGGGAACUGAACCCACGCUGCCUGCACCAAAGUCAGGCGAGUGUACCACUACACCAUCAGUGACUGUUUUUCAACUAAUACAUUUCUUUUCAAAGGGGGAUUGGGAACAAAAAAAUGCAAAUAUCUCAAUGGUAUUACACCAGAACACAGCAAUUGUGGUUUGUUUUCGCAGGCCACAUGAAAUGAUGGGAAGACCAGUUUGACACCUGUGGUCUAGAGCAUUUUUAUGUACAGUAUUUACAUUUAGUAAUGUUUUGAUUAUCAGUCUAAAAAAUAAUCAUAAUAUAAAAAUAAUUAUGUUAGUAUAAAGUUGAUAAUGGAUAUUGGGUUGGACCAUAUUGACUCUAUACUGAUAAUCUACAUAAUGAAAUAACGAUCAAUGCGCUUACAAAAUACUGUCUAGAUAUGGUAGACAUGUUAAAGUAAGAAUUGAAGUAAAUGGUGGUAGUACAAUUGACCAAAAUUAUUUUCAGAAUUUUAUUACAACUUCUUGGAAAGCUUUUCUCAAACAACAGCUUUCUGACAGAUUACAAUUACAUGGUAGCUACCACCCUCAAAUAAAUGCUGGGAAGUCAAUUAAAUUAGGUCAAGUAUAUAUGAGGAUGCGUGUGCACCGUAUCCCUUUUUGAGAUCGUCUUUGCAGGCACUCCACUGGAUCGGAUCCAUUCAGGUCUACCGAAGCCAGAUCUGCUGAUGGGCAUACUAAUCGUUCAGGUAUUGCACACUACCGACUAAUCAAUUUCAGGAAACAAGUCCAAUCGGCACUCCCAAGAGCGGCCGACGGACCCCUGCUUGUCAUCAAACUCGGUGAUUGUGUGCUGAUUAAAAAACUUCCGGCGGAAAAAGUGGAGACAUCAGCGCUGGCUGGGGCAUUUCCAAGUCCUCCUUGUGACCCACACUGCAGUGAAAGUUGCUGAAAGAACUACGUGGGUUCACACGUCACAGUGCAAGAAGGUCCCAGCGCCUCCUAUGGUCCCGACUCCUCCACUUCACUCACCUUCUACGACGGACGGAUGAGAGUAAAGGUCGAAGGCUAAAUAAUCACUUCUAAGAAAGGGGAUUCACUGUUAGCAUAUACUUUUAGCUACAAUCACUGCUAGUAACUGAUUGCACGUUGAUAGGUCAUAGAGAAGCAGAAGAUAGGUCAUAGAAGUUGAGCAACGACCAAUCAUCUGUCUGAACUGAUGCACACGCACGCGCGCACUUGCGUAACUCGGCAGAAGAACAGACGAAAGACGACGACUAAAACCCUUCCUCGGUGGUUCACCGUCAACUCUCAUAAUUGUUGUGAUAAAAAUGUGCGUUAAAGUGUGUAUUGAUGCUCCCACUUUGACAGUAAGCACAAUUUUGUACCUUACGAGACGUGACAACUAUGACGAGCUUCUUUGGUCACAUACGAUUGCCACUACUUCUGCUAAUUUCACCUGCUACAGCAUGAAUGUUUGGUUCCUGUAUGCCCUUCAUGUGGUACGCUUUCAAAAUCAUUCUAACUGGUAUGUAUGUUCUUUCCUGCCCACAUGUUGUGCCUUCCCCACAUCCUAAUCCAUCAUCAAACCAUCCUUGCCGAAAACAGGUUCAGCUCCCCCCCACGAGACUCGACUGGUCAGGUCGAUGCGCCACUAUUUUUUUGACAUUAUCUCUGCCACAUCCCGUUCUCGUCGUCGCAGAUCGGCCCAAUUUGAAGAACACGAUCCAGUUUGAGGCGAAGCUGUCCCCACCGAUCAAACAAAGAUAAUUGUUUUGCUUAUCUUUUCUUCUCCGUCUCUCUCCUGUAUAACGGAGGUGAUUUUUUUACUUGCACUUCAGUAAGGGGUAACAACUCCUCAAGACUUGUACCGUUUCCUUUAUUUGCAAAGACAUUCCUUUCUUUUUUGUAAUAAAAACCCACAAAUACAA